rnacentral:rRNA from 1 species
UACAGAGGUCUCAAGCGUUUGUUCGGAUUCAUUGGGCGUAAAGGGUGCGUAGGCGGACUAUUAAGUCAGGGGUGAAAUCCCGGGGCUCAACCCCGGAACUGCCUUUGAUACUGGUAGUCUCGAGUCCGGAAGAGGUGAGUGGAAUUCCGAGUGUAGAGGUGAAAUUCGUAGAUAUUCGGAAGAACACCAGUGGCGAAGGCGGCUCACUGGCCCGUUACCGACGCUCAGGCGCGACAGCGUGGGGAGCAACAGG